CCUACGGGAGGCAGCAGUGGGGAAUAUUGGGCAAUGGGCGCAAGCCUGACCCAGCAACGCCGCGUGAAGGAAGAAGGCUUUCGGGUUGUUAACUUCUUUUCUGAGGGACGAAGAAAGUGACGGUACCUCAGGAAUAAGCCACGGCUAACUACGUGCCAGCAGCCGCAGUAAUACGUAGGUGGCAAGCGUUAUCCGGAUUUCUUGGGUGUAAAGGGCGUGUAGGCGGGAAAGCAAGUCCGAUGUGAAAAUUCAGGGCUCAACCCUGAGCCUGCAUUUGAAACUGUUUUUCUUGAGUGCAGGAGAGGCAAUCGGAAUUCGGGGUGUAGCGGUGAAAUGCGUAGAUAUACGGAGGAACACCAGUGGCGAAGGCGGAUUGCUGGACAGUAACUGACGCUGAGGCGCGAAAGCGUGGGGAGCAAACAGGAUUAGAUACCCUUGUAGUC
rnacentral:rRNA from 1 species